rnacentral:rRNA from 1 species
CAGCCGCCGCGGGAAUACGAAGGGUGCAAGCGUUAAUCGGAAUUACUGGGCGCAAAGCGUGCGUAGGCGGUGAGUUAAGUCUGCUGUGAAAUCCCCGGGCUCAACCUGGGAAUGGCAGUGGAUACUGGCUCGCUAGAGUAUGGCAGAGGGGGGUGGAAUUCCACGUGUAGCAGUGAAAUGCGUAGAGAUGUGGAGGAACACCGAUGGCGAAGGCAGCCCCCUGGGCCAAUACUGACGCUCAUGCACGAAAGCGUGGGGAGCAAACAGGAUUAGAUACCCGCGUAGUCCCUGUCUUUAUACC